rnacentral:rRNA from 1 species
CCUACGGGCGGCAGCAGUGAGGAAUAUUGGUCAAUGGCCGGAAGGCUGAACCAGCCAUGCCGCGUGAAGGUCAGUGCCCUAUGGGCGUUAAACUUCUUUUGUGCGGGAGCAAUAAUGGUCACGUGUGGCCAGACGAGAGUACCGUACGAAUAAGCAUCGGCUAACUCCGUGCCAGCAGCCGCGGUAAUACGGGGGAUGCAAGCGUUAUCCGGAUUUAUUGGGUUUAAAGGGUGCGUAGGCUGUGAGGUAAGUCAGACGUGAAAUUCCAGGGCUCAACCCUGGAACUGCGUUUGAAACUGUUCUUCUUGAGUGAUGGAGAGGCAGGCGGAAUUCCGUGUGUAGCGGUGAAAUGCGUAGAUAUACGGAGGAACACCAGUGGCGAAGGCGGCCUGCUGGACAUUAACUGACGCUGAGGCGCGAAAGCGUGGGGAGCAAACAGGAUUAGAUACCCCUGUAGUC